UACAGAGGUCUCAAGCGUUUGUUCGGAUUCAUUGGGCGUAAAGGGUGCGUAGGUGGCGCGGUAAGUCGGGUGUGAAAUUUCGGAGCUUAACUCCGAAACUGCAUUCGAUACUGCCGUGCUUGAGGACUGGAGAGGAGACUGGAAUUUACGGUGUAGCAGUGAAAUGCGUAGAGAUCGUAAGGAAGACCAGUGGCGAAGGCGGGUCUCUGGACAGUUCCGUGACAGCUGAGGCACGAAGGCCAGGGGAGCAAACGGGG
rnacentral:rRNA from 1 species